UUGUAGUAAAGUGUAUUUGACAAUUUCACAAGUUCCGGUAUCUGAGAAAUAUGAUUGAGUGAAAAUUUCCACGACAUAAAUGGUGAGCUUGCCAGGAGUGGCUACAAGGGACCAGUAAAUGGUUGGAAACUCUGACUGCAGAUGCGUCUUCCUGGAUGAAUAGCACAAACACCUAAAAGAGAGACAACUGAUUCCACACAACAAGCAAGAUUAAUUCACUCGCCAGUGAUACCGAUGUCCAACCCCAGGCUCCCAAGCAGAGCAGGAGGACAUUUUUUCCAACCCAAAAAUUAGGAGAAGAGUCAGACGACUCAACUGACAUAGAUUACCCGACCCCUUUGCAGCCAAAGCCCUGCGUCUGGCUCAGUACAACCCAGCUAUGCUCUCUCCAACCCUGCGUCUGGCUCUGCACAACCCAGCUCCGCCCUCUCCAGUCCUGCGUCUGCCCCUACCCCCUUAUCUCCGGUUCCUGUGA